GACAGAGGGUGCAAACGUUGUUCGGAAUUACUGGGCGUAAAGCGCGUGUAGGCGGUUAUGCAAGUCGGGUGUGAAAGCCCCGGGCUCAACCCGGGAAGUGCAUUCGAUACAGCGUAGCUAGAGUACUGGAGAGGAUGGUGGAACUCUCGGUGUAGAGGUGAAAUUCGUAGAUAUCGAGAAGAACACCGGUGGCGAAGGCGGCCAUCUGGACAGAUACUGACGCUGAGACGCGAAAGCGUGGGGAGCAAACAGG
rnacentral:rRNA from 1 species